rnacentral:tRNA from 1 species
GGCUCUAUGACUUAGAUGGUUAAAGAGCCUGUUUAGUAAACAGGAGUUCCUUAGUUCAAUUCUCAGCAGUGCCU